rnacentral:tRNA from 1 species
GGCCUCAUGGCCUAAUGGAUAAAGCGUCUCACUUCGGAUGAGAAGAUUCCAGGUUCGAAUCCUGGUGGGGUCG